rnacentral:tRNA from 1 species
GACGCAGUGGCGCAGAAGGUAGUGCUGUCGCCUCACAGCAAGAAGGUCGCUGGUUCGAGCCCAGUCUGGGUCA